rnacentral:rRNA from 1 species
UACGGAGGAUCCGAGCGUUAUCCGGAUUUAUUGGGUUUAAAGGGUGCGCAGGCGGGAGAUUAAGUCGGCGGUGAAAUUUUGCAGCUCAACUGUAAAAGUGCCUUCGAAACUGGUUUCCUUGAGUGUAGAUGAAGUAGGCGGAAUUUGUGGUGUAGCGGUGAAAUGCAUAGAUAUCACGAGGAACUCCGAUUGCGCAGGCAUCUUACUAAACUACUACAGACGCUCAUGCACGAAGGCGUGGGGAUCAAACAGGAUUAGAUACCCGU